rnacentral:rRNA from 1 species
CGGCGAGUGAACAGGGAGAAGCCCAGCACCGAAGCCUGUGGCUAUUUGGUCACUAGGCAAUGUGGUGUUCAGGUCAUUCCGCGGAGGUACUGCUCCAUUCCAAGUCCGGCAAUGAGUACGGUAAUACGGACAUGGCCCAUAGAGGGUGAAAGGCCCGUUGGGGUGGAGAAGCAGGAAGGCCAGUACCUCUCUGGAUAGACCUUGGAGUCGGGUUGUUUGUGAAUGCAGCCCAAAGUGGGUGGUAAACUCCAUCCAAGGCUAAAUACUUGCACGAGUCCGAUAGCGAACAAGUACCGUGAGGGAAAGUUGAAAAGUACUUUGAAGAGAGAGUAAACAGUGCGUGAAACCGCUCAGAGGUAAACGGGUGGAGUUGAACUGCAAACUCUAAUGGAUUCAGCUGGUGAGAUUGCUUGGGCUUGGACAAAUUGGUUGAUACUUGGGGUCUGCGUAGCAGCAGGUCUUCGCCACUCUGUGGUGCGGAUGCGCGAGGCACUUAUCAAGUGUUGUGCGCCCUGAGCUAUCGAACCGUCUCGCCAGUGCACUUCCUUAGAGUGUUCACCACGACCGGCAUUGCUGUCAGGCUAUUGAGGUUAAACCGGUCUUGCAUUGUCCUUGUGGCUUUGCUUGGUCGGGAUGGCAGGUAGCUCGUUUGCUUUGCCCAUAGUUCGCUAUGGGCGCUUGGCUUCCGGGUGUAAUCAGCUGACCACAAUGGUUCUGUGCGGUAUGUCGGAGACGGCGGCUUGUGGUGUUAGCAUGCGUAGCAGGCGGCUGGCGUAUCCGGGUUUGGUUGUUGUGUUGCUUGUGCAAACAAGCCCAAUGAUGGCCCGGGUUCGUUCGGUAGUCGGUUGCGUAUGUGACGCUAUCCAGGGCCAAUAGUCUGUGGUGUAGUGGUAGACUAUCCACCUGACCCGUCUUGAAACACGGACCAAGGAGAGUAACAUGUGCGCGAGUCAUUGGGCGUAACGAAACCCAAAGGCGCAGUGAAAGUAAAGGUCUAGCUUGCUAGACUGAGGUGAGAUCCUGUCGUUUCUCACGCGCGGUAUCACCAAGCAUCGAGCGGCAGGCGCAUCACCGGCCCGUCCCAUGGCGUAGACACAUAGUCCUCGGACCAGUGCACCGCCGGGGCGGAGCAUGAGCGUACAUGUUGAGACCCGAAAGAUGGUGAACUAUGCUUGCGCAGGUUGAAGCCAGAGGAAACUCUGGUGGAGGACCGUAGCGAUUCUGACGUGCAAAUCGAUCGUCAAACGUGAGUAUAGGGGCG